CAAUAGCGUAUAUUAAAGUUGUUGCGGUUAAAAAGCUCGUAGUUGGAUUUCUGUUGGGAACGACCGGUCCGCCCAUUGGGUGUGUAUCUGGCUUGUUCUCGGCAUCUUCUUGGUGAACGUUGCUGCACUUGACUGUGUGGAGCGCUACCCAGGACUUUUACUUUGAGGAAAUUAGAGUGUUUCAAGCAGGCAUAUGCCUUGAAUACAUUAGCAUGGAAUAAUAAGAUAGGACCUCGGUUCUAUUUUGUUGGUUUCUAGAGCUGAGGUAAUGAUUAAUAGGGAUAGUUGGGGGCAUUCGUAUUUAACUGUCAGAGGUGAAAUUCUUGGAUUUGUUAAAGGCGGACUACUGCGAAAGCAUUUGCCAAGGAUGUUUUCAUUGA
rnacentral:rRNA from 1 species